rnacentral:rRNA from 1 species
UACGUAGGGUGCGAGCGUUAAUCGGAAUUACUGGGCGUAAAGCGCGUGUAGGCGGGUUUCCAAGUCAGAUGUGAAAUCCCUGGGCUCAACCCAGGAACUGCAUUUGAAACUGGGAGUCUUGAGUAUCGGAGAGGAAAGCGGAAUUCCUGGUGUAGAGGUGAAAUUCGUAGAUAUCAGGAGGAACACCGGUGGCGAAGGCGGCUUUCUGGACGAUAACUGACGCUGAGACGCGAAAGCGUGGGGAGCAAACAGG